UACGUAGGGGGCAAGCGUUGUCCGGAUUUAUUGGGCGUAAAGAGCGUGUAGGCGGCCAUGUAGGUCCGUUGUGAAAACUCGAGGCUCAACCUCGAGACGCCGAUGGAAACCAUGUGGCUAGAGUCCGGAAGAGGAGAGUGGAAUUCCUGGUGUAGCGGUGAAAUGCGCAGAUAUCAGGAAGAACACCCGUGGCUAAGGCGGCUCUCUAGUACGGUACUGACGCUGAGGUGCGAAAGCGUGGGGAGCAAACAGG
rnacentral:rRNA from 1 species